rnacentral:rRNA from 1 species
GACGAACGCUGGCGGCGUGCUUAACACAUGCAAGUCGAACGGAAAGGCCCUGCUUUUGUGGGGUGCUCGAGUGGCGAACGGGUGAGUAACACGUGAGUAACCUGCCCUUGACUUUGGGAUAACUUCAGGAAACUGGGGCUAAUACCGGAUAGGAGCUCCUGCUGCAUGGUGGGGGUUGGAAAGUUUCGGCGGUUGGGGAUGGACUCGCGGCUUAUCAGCUUGUUGGUGGGGUAGUGGCUUACCAAGGCUUUGACGGGUAGCCGGCCUGAGAGGGUGACCGGCCACAUUGGGACUGAGAUACGGCCCAGACUCUUACGGGAGGCAGCAGUGGGGAAUAUUGCACAAUGGGCGGAAGCCUGAUGCAGCAACGCCGCGUGCGGGAUGACGGCCUUCGGGUUGUAAACCGCUUUCGCCUGUGACGAAGCGUGAGUGACGGUAAUGGGGAAAGAAGCACCGGCGAACUACGU